CCCUCAGAGGGUGGGCCUGUGCCUGGGCCCCAGAGCUGGGUGGGCAAAAAUCACUUGCCUUCUUGCGGCACAGCCACCAAACACAACACAGCAGCAGUGGCGCAAGCAGCAGGGGCGGCACAAAAUAGAGCCAGUUGCAAAAAAUGCCCUGGCUGAGAAAGACAGCAAUAUGAACCACGCCUAAGGGACAGAGGAAUGCCAGGCCUGGGAGGGCCUGGGUAGCCUCAUCCUGGUGCCCACCACUUGGAGGCCCAUCUGCCCAUUCUCCCUUCUCUACAGGUGGUCCCACCUCAAGGCACAACAGUGGGGCCGGGGGUAAGGGAUGCUUCCAAGGGAACUACAAACCCCUCCUCUGGCCCCGCUGAAAGUCUCUGCCCAAGAGCCCUGCCAAGAAAGUCCCGGAAGCUUCCACUGUCUGACAAACCCACCCUCACUGCACACCUCGCCUGCAGCACAGGGCUUCUGUGAGGACCACAAAAUCUCCAGCUGACUUCAAUGAAGUACUCCCUAAAGCACAGAAAACACAGACGGUGAGAGCCAGCCCAGAGAGAUGCAGUUCUUGACCUUGGCCAGUGGACAGCGUGGGUAAUGAGAGGUCAUUCCCCAAACGCUUGCAGAGUCUGUUGGCUUAACUCUGAGAAGCAACCUGGAGCAAAGCAUGCAGAGCUGACCCUGAGGCCCAGGACCAGCAUCUGGGCUCUGCCUUCCUCUUACAGAGACCCCUGUGAGCACCCACCAUACCCAGGCCCUGUGCAAUGCUCUGCUGUGUAACAGGAACAGGCAGGCAGAGUCCCUGCUCUCAAGGGACUCACAUUUAGAGAUUGCAUGGGACACAGAAAACAAAAUUAAAAAACAAACAAAAAAAAAACCAGGACAGAACAGAUGACAGAGAGUGCAACGUGCUGUGAUGUCCAUGACCAGAGGAGGUGAGGGGACCAGAGGGGCAGGGACAGCCACUUCAUUAUGUGUGACUUCUCCUAUCUUGUAGAGCCACAAUUUCUGGUCUAGAGGAACAUGAAAUAAUGCAAGGCCAGGGAUUUGCUUCAAAAUACUCUGUGGUAAGGGUUCCAAGGAAAGCAGAUGGGGGCAGGUUGAGAAUUAUUGAAAGUAGGUUUAUGGCACAAUUCUUGUUAUUUUGUAUACUGUUGAAAACUUCCAUGAAUAAUAAAUUCUCUCUGAAAAGGUGACAUUUCAGCUGAAAUUAAAAAGAUGAGGAGCCAGCCAGGCAAAGAUCAUGUGCCAAUGCCCUGGGCAGUGACUCGCUGACCUUGUCAAGGAGGGAAAGAGGUGAUCCAGAACAGGGGGCAGGGCCUCGUGGGCCCUGGAAAGGGGUUGGGGUUUUAUUUCUUGUGCAGUGAAUCUGUCCAGGUUGGGCAGAUCCAGGAUGUAUUUUGCACAUGGAGGCAACAGGACUUGCUGGUGGGAUGGAUGUGAGGAAGAAGCUCAGAGGAGUCAAAGAUGACAUUUGAGUGUUUGACCAGAAUAACCGGGUGGACAGUGACACCAUUUACCAAAAGGGGGAAGCCUGAGGAGGUAACUGGGUUUGUUUGUUUUAAGUCUGUAAUUUUGUUUCCCAAUUUUUAUUUCUUUAUAUAUUUAUUUAUUUAUUUUUUGUGGGAGUGUGGUGGGCUCAGGAGAGUUCUGUAACAUGUAGACAUAGAACCUUCUCAUCCUGAGCCCACAUCCUUUUCAUGCCUCCUGAAGUGUUGGGGAGGGCACGGGCCCUGCUGCAUCUGCCUGCUGGCCUGGCUCCAGCUCUCUACCCACUGGGCUUGGCUGCCAGGACCCCGGCUUCCCAGGGCCAGCAACUGCCUGGCCAACCUAGGACUGCCAGAACCCGUGGUAUCGACGUUUUCGCCAAGGAUGAUUUCAAAACAAUUAUGGCAUCUUCCUCAUUUUCCUUUGAAAACCUUUCUCUGCUUUUUUUUCACCUCCCUAAAUAUGCACAUAGUUUACUCUGGCAUGUGUUUUCCAUGCCUUAUUCCUGAAUAAAUAGCACUUCAGUCUCUGUUUGUUAUUUUGGUUGAUAAAAAUCGUAUCCAGGCACUUCCCAGAAGCCAGAACUAGGCUCUGCCCCUGCUUCCCCAUAGGGACAUAUGCAGGACAGAGGGAAGUCUCUCCCUGACCUGCACCUCCGGUCUGGCAUCAGCCACCAGGGAAGGCACGCUGCCAUCUAGUGGGGGGUGCAGGGGAGACGUGUUCAGUGGUGGCCAACACUCCAGGGACAUGUUCCGGGGAUAUCUUCCUAAUAGUGAAAAUAGGUUUAAAGGUUGUUCUCAAUUAUUUUAAAAAAUAAGCUUCCUUUUACUCCUGGAUAAGCCAUCAACCAGGAGCAGAAUGGCCAUCUACGCAGGUGCUCACAGCUGUGGCAUGGGCUCCCCACUGUGAGACGUCGGUGCUGGCCUGUGUAUGGAGAGGUAGAUGGUAACCUCCAGGGUGGGAAGCCAGUACACCCACAGGCCCACAGAGGAAGCAGCUGAAUGCCCUUCACGGAGGUAGGCUGGGUACCCCCUUUCCCAGGAGCUGCCACCACAGGGAGGCAGAAGGCCCUGGUAGGGCAGGAAGAUUGCCUGGGUCUGCUUUCCUGCCCUGCAACAUGAACUGUAUGGCCCUGGGCAGGCUCUUCCAUCAUGCUUCUCUCUAGUUCUCCAUCCAUACGGGAAAGUUGUCAGAACUAAAAUGGAGUCAUUUGUGUUAAAAAAAUAAAAUAAAGUCCAUGACAGUUAGGGCUAAGAAAGGCUACAAAGAGAGGGUUUUAUGCCUAUAUGCCUGAUAACAAAAAUAUCACAAAAGACUUUGCAAAAACCACAACCUUGCACAAAAGCCAUUGCAGACUUAACACAAAAAAAUACUUCUACAGGAACAUGUGCCCAAGAACUGCCUGUCCAGCCUUGGACUAGUGUCACCCUUGUAACUGAUCUUUUUAGGCAAGAGUAAUGGUCUCAAAACAAUUCCCUAAUCUUCAUUUCUCCUUUAAAAGCCUUUGUCUUCUUUACCUCCCUGAUUAUGCACAUUACUAUGGCACACAUAUUCCCAGUGCCGGGCACCGUUCCUGAAUAAAUACUGUUUUCUUUUAGAGAGAAACUCUCUGUCGUUCAGGUUGACAUAAAUGGUGUCCAGAAGUAGGACCUGGAGUAGGACCACUACUUGAAGAAAUCAGCCACUCUUGGAAUUGGUGUGCAGUCCUCACUUGAGCCCUUGGAGCUCCCUGUUUCUGUGACUUGCUUUCUCUGCCCUGGAGAGUCUUCUCUCAGGCUGAGCCUCCUACUUUUGGGUGGAAGCUCUUGACUUCAUUCAGCAUCUGAUUUGGAUAAGGCCACCGUAAGCCAAAGAGCUUACAUCCCUCCUGAAAUGAUAACAAUUUUUUGUCUUUUCCAGUAAUUCUUUCUGGUAUAAUGACAAAUGUUUUUCUGAUUUGAGCACCCUAGUUUCUACAUAAUUUACAUUUGUUUGUGAGGCAUGUCUUUUCUGGCAAAUUCACUUUUAGUUCUGCAUGCCUAAUUAAAUAUUUGUUUGAUCUGUAUACCCGGGUUAAAAUAUCUGUGAACAAUGACAUUGGUUUGGUUCCAUGUGUCUGUAAGUCAUAUGGAACCAAAAAAGCCCACACAGCCAAAGCAAGACUAAGCAAAAAGAACAAAUCUGGAGGCAUCACAUUACCCAACUUCAAACUAUUCACAUGGCUAUAGUCACCAAAAUAGCAUGGUACUGUUAUAAAAACAGGCACAUAGACCAAUGGAACAGAAUAGAGAAUCCAGAAAUAAACACAAAUACUUACAGCCAACUGAUCUUUGACAAAGCAAACGAAAGCAUAAAGUGGAGAAAGGACACCCUAUUCAACAAAUGGUGCUGGGAUAAUUGGCAAGCCACCAUGUAGAAGAAUAAAACUGGUUCCUCAUCUCUCAACUUAUACAAAAAUCAAUUCAAGAUGAAUCAAAGACUUAAAUCUAAGACCUGAGACUAUAAAAAUUCUAGAAGAUAACAUCAGAAAAACUCUUCUAGACACUGGCUUAGGCAGACACUUCAUGACCAAGAACCCAAAAGCAAAUGCAACAAAAACAAAAAUAUUUGUGGGGGGGUAAAUUGAUGAAAAAAAUUUUGCAUGUAAUUGACUUGGUAAUAAUCAGAAUAAAAUUAUUUAUAAGUCUUCAUAAAGAUUGAGCUCUGAUAUUAAAAAUACAGUAAUACUAAACUAAAAAAUUGGUCUCCUAUAUUAGAACACCAAAGUUUUCUUGAAAUAUUGAUUUGCUAUUAGUAAAAUUGCAAGAGGUUUUGAUUUUUAAUUCUGACUGCUGUUUUCUUUAACAGCCAUCUUCUAAACUGCAGGCAGUUUCUAUUCCUGGCACAUUUUUUCCUGAGAUCCAUUUAAUUUCCCCAGUUUCAGAUAAGGAAUGCAAUCUUUUUCAUGAAGAAUGGUAAUUUUAUUCAUUAAGGUAUAAAAUUUAUUUAUUUAUUAAAUAGAAAGUAAUUUUAUUUAUCAUAAGGUAAAUAAAUAAAUGGUAUUUAUUUAAUAAGGUAUUUAUUUUCCUCAGGUUCUUAUUUCAGAAGUUCAAUUUCUGCUGCAUCCCACUGCACAUGGUCUGCAGGCCAUACACCAUAGCCUGUAGCGCUCCUACUCCCUUCCUCCGAAAAGUUACAGCUUUUUGGUUGGCUGAGGUGAUAACUCUCUUCUCCAACUUUUUCAUCAGCUGCUCCAACUUUUUUCCUCCAGUUCUAACUUGGCUUUUAUGGCCUGGCACUAUAAUGUUUAUCUUGAAGGCCAAGAAAAGCAAUGUUUUCCGCCAAUAUAACUAGAUUAUGUACUCUUGGCUUUUCUUGAUAUGUCUGAAUUGUUCCAUGUUACCAAGAAACUUCACGUGGUUUUACUUUAUCUAAGAGCUCUACAUUCCUCUGCUCAAGAAGUACAACUUGUAACCAUAAUGCUAGCCCAUCACUUUGAGAUAACAGCAAGACUAUGGAACUCACAAAAUUGAACUUAAUAAUGGACUCAAGAUAGACUUAGCCCGAGAGUCACUCCUUUCAAACAUCCUUUAAAGGUCAACUGUGACUAAAAGGGAUUGACACUUACUCCAAGUUGCCAAUUGCUCCCUCCAAAAUGGACCAAGACCUGCAACCAGGACAGGCCCAUCCCAUUAUCCAGGGACAGUCAAAACCUAAUUACAGAAUGAUUGAUUAGUGAGGUGUUUGCAGAAAGAUCUUGAUCAAAAGGGAGAAAUUGUGAAAGUUCUCAGAAUCAAAAUGGAGUUAACAUGUUAAAAAAACAACAAAAAAAUCCUGGCAAGCUGAAUUGGGGAAGUUUAUGAAGAGAAGAUUCACAUGCUUGUAUACCUGAUAACAAAAACUAUCACAAAUCUCUACCAAACUACAACCUUUGCAAAGACCAUUGCAACCUUACUCAAAAAUACUUCUGCAAGGACAUCUGACCCGCAAUUGCCCAUGCAACCUCACAUUGGGGUCACCUCUAUUAUUAUUGAUCUUAGUAGCCAAGAAGAACUAACUCAAACAAUUAUGUAAUCCUUCUCACAUCUCCUGUAAAAUCUAACCUUCCUGAAUAUGCAUGUAGUUUACUAUGGCAUGCGUAUUCC
rnacentral:lncRNA from 10 species